UACGUAGGGGGCAAGCGUUGUCCGGAAUUAUUGGGCGUAAAGCGCGCGCAGGCGGUCCUUUAAGUCUGAUGUGAAAGCCCACGGCUUAACCGUGGAGGGUCAUUGGAAACUGAGGGACUUGAGUACAGAAGAGGAGAGUGGAAUUCCACGUGUAGCGGUGAAAUGCGUAGAGAUGUGGAGGAACACCAGUGGCGAAGGCGACUCUCUGGUCUGUAACUGACGCUGAGGUGCGAAAGCGUGGGUAGCAAACAGGAUUAGAUACCCGGGUAGUCCCU
rnacentral:rRNA from 1 species